rnacentral:lncRNA from 7 species
CACAAGUCCACAAAGCACACAAGAAAACAGAGACAAAGUACUAGAGUUACAUAAAUUACAGUCCAACUUCACAAUUCACAAUUUAAUACUUUAUCACCAAAGUCAUAAACAAAAGCACAAACAACAACAGUCUGCAGCUCGCCAGCAAGGCUCCAGCCUCCAAGUCUCCAACCUUCAAGGUCUGCAGCUCCACUACUUCAUAACUUCACAAGGUCUGCACUCUGCAGUCUGCAGCUCGCCAAGUCCAACUGUCCAAGGCAGCAAGCCUCCACUCGAGCACAUGCAAGUCUGCAACCUGGUAGGCUGGUAGCCUGGUACCAGCAGGCAGCAGCAAGGUAAUAAAUUAUACCAACUUACCAAGUUACUAACUGCUAGCAUGCACUAAUAAACAAAUGAAGCAUUGUCUUUGUCUGGUUAACCUAUACAUAUGAAGCAUGAACUAAUAAACAAAUGAACUAGACGAUCCGAACUAAUAAUCAGCUAAUAAUCAGCACUUCAGCAGCUGCCAGCAUGUCCAAAUGGAGGAGAAUGAAUUCCCUAUAAAAUUUAAAAAACUAGCAGCUGCCGGCACGAACUAAUAAUCAGCACUAAUAAUCAACGGCUGCUGGUGCGCCGUGCGCUUGUGUGCGACUGCACGGUGCCGCCGCUGGCCGCCUACGCCUGGCCACCUAGAGUGACGACGCCGCCUCCUGGGAGGAUGGGACUACCGGACUGACCAGCUCACGACUGCUGGUGGCUGGUGCCCGUGCGCGUGUGCGCGACUGCGCGCUGCGCGGUGCAGCCGCCUGGCCCCCUGCCAGCUGGGUGAGGACGCCGCCUGGGGCUGGGAGCCUGGGAGAACGCCGUCGGUCGCCUGGGAAGGAAGUGCGUGGGAGUGGGACCGUGGGAGGCUGGGAGCUAGGCUUGCGACUUUGCG